rnacentral:snoRNA from 1 species
GAUUGUGAUGAUGAAAACAACCACACUAUCGGCUAGACUACGGUCCAUGUUGUCGAACUGUUAACCAUCUUUCGGGACUGAUACAAUC